GAUAAAAACUCUCAUUUCAUCUGCUAAAAUGUUGGCAGGUGCAUUGCAGCCCUCUCCGACUGAUCCCCUCCAGAAACACGCCCAACGUAGGCCAGCAAGCCCAGGAGCAUCUUGCAGCAGCUUUGUCUCUUCUUUCCAGGAGUGGUUUUGUGGCUGUGUGCUCGCUAAUGGGAUGGGGAAGACCUGUCUAGCAGCACCGAGGGGCUCGUGUUUUCCUGAAAUUGCUGGUGAUGUCCCUGGGCAGAGGAAAAGGGAGAGGGAUUAGCCUCCGCAUAAGACCUCUGUAGCUCUUGGGCAGGAAAAAUCAAAAAGGAAAUUUAGUAGGGCAUCAUUUCUGAACUCAUGCUACUCAACAUAGUAUGUAAGAUUCACUCAGCAUCACUUUCUUGAAAUUCAAUGUGGCAAAGCGUCAUCCCAUCAAAUGGCAGAAGACUGAUAAAAGAACAGUCAGGCAAUGGGACAAGAUCCUGCCUGCAUGUCUUUGGGUUUUUCUGGACUCUAUCUGGCUAUAUAAAUACCCAAAGAAAGCCUUCUAAGCUGGAAAAUAGCAAAAAGGACAACAAAAUCCAUUUUUUCCCCAGUUUAUUUGAGUAAGAUUAAUCUAGGUCUGAUUUUUCAAGAUUCACAGCCUGAAUUUUCCACAGGCUGGACACUUGUGUUUGUGGCCUCUCAAAGGGGUGAGGAGAAGGGAGGAAAAAUCCUUUUUUGAAGCUGUAUGAGGGGAUUCAUUGCAAGGGCGAAGGAAAAUUUCAGCUCGGUCUCUGGGAAUUCUUCUAGAGCCAAGAAAUCUGCAUUGUUGGAAAGAGUCUCCCAGAGGAAGUGAUUGAAAUAUCAUCGUGUGAAUCAUAUCUGUAACAAGGAAUGACCUUUAGCAGCCCAUGUUAAAUGAAGGAUCCUGGUUUGGGGGUAUCCAGCAGGGCUGGGCUGUCCCACCACAUUACUUGCCACUAACUGUGCUGCAUGAGGUCCUCAAGGACAGCUGUGGGAUGGUCCUCCUGCUAUUUAGAGAGGGCUGAGCCUCCCCAAAGGAUUAAAAGAUGAGCAUAGAGGUGAUAAAAACUGUGCAUGGGGUAUUCUCGUGGUGUUCUUGUGUAGUGUUGGCUGAGAAGAGCCAUGGUUGGAGACCUGGCUCCAUCAGGGACAUGGGGACAGAAAGCACAUGGGAGGUCGAGGAUGGCAGGUGCGCUUGGGACCUGCUCUGGGGAUAGUUGGUAGCCUGUACAGGGUUGGAAGAAUAAGUUUUGGGGAAGUGAAGAGUGUGCUCUGGGCUGGGCCGUGACACAACAUCUCUGGGAGAAAAUGUAGCCAUGAACUCAUUUGGGAUCUGGACUGCAAGUCUUGCUUAGGGCUGAGCAGGAGUUAAUUCCAGACAUGCUUUCCAUCAUGCGUUUUGCUCGAUGUUAUUACUUCCACCAUAAUUUCCCUGUCACCUCCAUCAAGACUUUUGUGUCAGGGACUAUGUACACGGACAGCAAAAAGACAGUCUGCUCCAAAGAGCUUAAAAUCCCCACGUGUCUUGCAUGAAGCUACUGAAACGGUUCACAAAUACCUGAGGAAGUUAUCAGAUACCCCACCGACCUUUCUAUCCAUCUUAGGAGGUGGAGAGAAGAAAGCAAAACCCACCUAAACUGCUGUUUAUUAUCUAGCUUUAACAAAUAUCUACAUUUUCAGUAGUUGCUUCACCCUGCCAGACAUUUCUACUCUGCUUCAACUCAGUCCUGCUGAAGCAAACAUUAACGGCUCAUCCAAUUGCCUAUAUUUAACUCCCCAAAUCUGGCACAGAUUUACACCAGCACUGGUAACAAUGGCACUGAACACCUGUCUGUGACUGCAUUUGCCCAGGGAUUCACUUCGUUCCAUGCUGUGUGUUUAAUAAUUCCUGCGAACAAUGGGACAAAUAAACAUAUUUUUACCGAGCUCUUACUCAAGCCAACGCCACCGUCCAAAUUGUACAUGAGAGGCCUGCAGAGGCUGGUGGUUGUUUCCUAGACUUGUUGCCUCUUUCCCUCAGAAACGACGCUGUCAGCAGCUCUGUGCUCAGAGAGGGCAUUUACCGCUUGUAUGUAAGGAAGGAAGAAGGAAGAAUGAGCAGGAAAGGGGCAGCCGUGCAGGGCUCUGAAGGCAAGGAUGAUAAAUGUGAACUUGAAGCUCUGGAGGACAGGGACGUCUUCUAAGACAGGCCGACGUGGUCUGAGCAAAAAGGAUGGGAGAUGGCUGUAGUGCAUGGCCGGGGAUGGAAUAAAGAAGGGUUGCAGGAGUUGGUGUAGGUGGUGGGAGCUGUUGGUGGUUGAGUAGAGGGUAUAUAACACAUUACAGCUGUGUGGUGGAAGAAGACGUAGGAAUGAGGGUGGGCAGGGUUGGUGAAGGCUGGCAGUCCUGUCUUUGGGUGGGGAAAUGAUUGCAAGGCUGUGUCUGACAAGGAGAAGUUGGCUUCACCUGGUGUCAUCUCCCAGGGGAAGGCAACUGGAGAGCUGUUGAGAGCAGAAAGGACUGACUCUGUGCCCAGCAUGGGCUGCUGCAUGUUAUAAGGGCCACAUAGCAAUUUAAUCCUCUAACUAAUGGUUUUCCAGGUAUCAAACAGUGCUUAAUGUUUCCUCUCCAGGAAGAUGGGCCUUGCCUUGUGUGGUUGAGAAGCUCCAUCCCCCCACUUGCAGCUAGCGUCUUGCUGGAAAUGUGUGGAUGCACAAGAGUGGGUGGCUCAGCAGGACAGAUGGGUGGUUUGGUUACAGUGAAAAUUUAGGGCUUUCAAGCCUCAAAUACACAGGGAAACCUUCUGACCCGAGUGCUGUGCUCAGCCCCUUCUACCUGUCACAUCUGGGAAGGGAUCUACCACACAAGCUUGGAGAAGCGUUGCUGUUGACCAUGAGCUUGACAGUGGUCAAGGGGACAAAUUUACCUUCACUCAGAUCAGCUGAACUCUGGGUUUACAAAAAAAAUAAAAAAUAAAAUAGUAAUUAAAAAAAAAUUGGCAGGCUGUGUCUGUCCAGAGUCUGAAUGAAUAGAAACUCUGAAGGAAGCACCUGCUGCUAAAGGAAAUCCAGGACAAGUUUUAUUAUCCUUUUUCACAGGUCUAUUCAGGACUACAUUAGGGGUUUCCUCUUUCCUUUUCUGGUACUUCACACUCAUUCACAACAAAAAACAUAUUGU